rnacentral:lncRNA from 1 species
AAAGGAUUGAAAAGAAGUUCACAACAAAAAAGUUUGAAGACAAGCAAACCUGAAACAGAUGCAGGGUAGUAGAUCUCAAGGGUGCAUUGCUCACUCCAGGGCCUGCUGCCACCCAGAUGGCUGGCAAACACCAGGACUCCCCACACAACAGGAUUCAGGGAUUCAGACAGGAGUCUUGCUCUACCAAUUAUUAUAGGAUCUUAGAUGCCUUUCCAGUAAAGCUAACAAAAAACAAAACAAUAUCCAAAAUACUAAACAGCUGUCUCCAAGAUCAGAAGGCAUCAGAAAAGACCCUCAAGAGUUGUCUAAUCCCAGAGGAAGAUCUUGUUUAAGUGGGGAAGUGCUCACAGCAGAAACCUUGGAAAUUUCAGGGAGUGAAAUUUUAUUGUCAGAACUUUCAAUAAAAGUGUAGCCACAGAUCCUGGGAGCAUUAAAUAAAAAUUACCAACAAGCUGUCUUACCUGUGUGCACUCCACUGAAAGGAAGGGCAAACAUGAGCAAGGAGCUCUUGUACAUCAGUCAAAAUUCUGACAGCUACCCUGUGAAGUUUGACGGGCUGCCAUGUGCUAGACUACCUAAGAUACUCUUAACUGAACCAUAAAAAGACAAAUAAAUUAGUAAUUGUA